CCACACGUCAGAAAUUCCAAAUGUGCUCAAAUUAUUUUGAUAAGUGGGUCGCAUGAGUCAUGUUUCCAUUGCACACGUUUUCAAAUCACAUACAUAAUUACUAUUUCAUAUGAAACAGAAAUUGUAAUUCUGAAACAUACAUGAAAUUCACAAACAGAGAGAAGAUACAUUAUUUCACAUACAUAAUUACUAUUUCAUUCACAAACAGAAAGAAGAUACAUUAAAUUCCCAGAUAACCCAGCUAUUAUUACAUAACUUGCUAUAUAAGAAUGUCUUGGAGCUUCUUUGAACAUCUUUCGUCUUGAAUUUACUCAAAAUAUCUACCAACAAAAAAACAGAACAGCAAGGAUAGGGUGAAUAACAACAACAACAACAGGUGAUGGGGUGCUAUUCCAUCUAAACAAGAGACUGAACCCAACAAGCUAGAUUUAUUCAGCAUCAUCAACAAUUCAGUAAAGUACUGCAGUUUAGAACUGAUGAGAAAAAACAACUACACGACUUCAUAACUGAACAUAUUCAAGUAAAAAUUGUACAAGUUACAUUCCAAUAAACAAAUUGUACAAGUGGACGAUUCCCUGCUGCAUAUACAUAUCACUUGUGUCAUGUUUGGGGGUUCAGAAUGUACACAACAUGUUUAUGGUAGAUGAACUGUAGCUGCUAGCAGGGGCGGAGCCAGGAUUUGGAUAUAGGGGGGGCCAAGUCAUGUUCAUUAAAGAAAAAUGCUCACUGCAGAAAAAUAAGUACCAUAAUACUAUAUUAUUGUGUUGCUUCAACACAACUAAAAUAGGGUCUGUCUAUGGCAUAUCAAUAUAUGGCUUAGUUAUUGCACAAAAAGGAAAAAGGAAAUAUUCGCACUAAUCUUUGCAUAAAAAAUAAUCAAUGUCAUAAGACCUAGAUUUUAAUACUUAGGACACAUCUAGAUGUACUUUAGCAAAACUGAUUAAAAUAUAUUUACAUUUGUAUUGGUUUAUAUUUGCCCCUACAGUUGUCAAUAAGAUCAAAAAUAUUGAUGAUUUCAUGAGUAGUUAACCUAGUUGCUAGCAAUUUCCUAUCAAUAUAGAUUAGCCAAGCAAGUCAUUGCCACUGAACUGGGAUUGGUAAAAAUUGCACAUUAGCCACAUUAACAACAUUACUAGGUGGAGAACUCGAAACAACAUACUUUAAAAGAGAAUUAAUCUUUAUGGUGUUUGCAGCCCUUUUCUCUUCAUGACCGCAUCACAAAUCAAACAAUGAAAAUAAAAUAAAAUUUAUUAGCAUCAAAUGACAACUUCAACAUGUAUAAGAUUAGAGUUGAGAGGGAUUAGUAGAUACAGUAGUUCUCAAUAGUGCUAACCUUGUGCCUGAACAGCUAGAGAAUUCACAGAGUUGAGAGGUAUCCGUAUGAUUUGCCAGUUCAGAAGCCUGUGUCGCCUGAUUUUAAUUGACUCCGUGAGUAGUGAGGGUACGAGGCAGCGGCCGCCGGCAAAGCUAAUCGCUUCAGGUUAAUCACGCUGGGGGGUUGGCUUAACGCCAGGGGCCAAGUACUAGAGUCUAUGGCCACGAGUGGGCUUUUUUAUGGGCCUUUUUCCCAGAUUUCUUCAUAGCCUUCGUUUGGGUUGAGGGGGGGCCAUAGUACGUAUAUUUCUCAGUUCAGUAGCUAAUUACUCGUAGCCUCUGAAUAAAUUGUCGAUCGUUAGGGGGGGGGCAGGCCCCUGCUCGCCCCCCCUUGGCUCCGCCACUGACUGCUAGGAAUAGUAAAGCAAAGAUGUACUGCCACUAAUCAGCAAAAACAUAACAUUUUCUCAGAGUUAAUGAUAGCAUAUUUAACCGUAAAUAACAGAAUAAUGCAAUAAAUUGGUAUAGAGCAAGGUACUGAGCAUAGGCCAGGCCAACAAUAAAUUGGUACUAAAUCUAGAAAUCACCAUCUAAAAUUUAGUUAAUGAGACAUUUUAGAAUCAACUUGAUAAUUGAUAGUAAUGUUUGCAUAGGACACAUCCAGAACUAAAACUAUACAUAAAUGCCUAAAUUUCAAUGCCCGAUGCCCAAAAUGUAAGAUGAUGGUUCUGGAAAAAUAGUAAACUUGCAACCAUAUUUAAAGAAAAGAAAAUAGCAAGGUGCUGCCAUGACCAAAUCCUAACCAGAAUGCAUUUAAUAAAAUGGAUUGCUUCUAGCUGCUGUAGCGACAUGCUCCAUCGGGCCAUGAUCAAGUACUCCAGACCAUUGCAUGCUUUGCAAAAAGAAAUACUAGAUGAAUCUCACUAACAGGAGCACUAGGUGAUUAAUGGAAGUAAUCUGCAGAUUACACUGUGAACAAGUGAAGAAUUUAUCUCUCCCUGUGGAAGAACUAAGUUGAUGAAGACAUGCAGCAGCAGGAGAAGCCUUGCAUCAUUGGUUUGGUCGGGUCGUCCACCACACUAGCCACCAUCACGUACCCGUCGCCAUCAGCAACAUUGCUCCUGCAGCAGCAACAUAUAACCAUUUAUAAAUUAAACGGACCACGUACAAGGUUAUACUAAGCAUGUAAGUACAUUCCAGCUACACGUACAAGGUUAUACUAAGCAUGUAAGUACAGUCCAGCUAUAAAGUGGAUGGCAAAGUGUGGCUGUUGUUGUUGCUACUUUAGCCAACUGAGCUAAUUAAUCUCAUCAACCUAAUACACUUCUCUCAAGAAAGAAAAAAGCAACUUCAAAUAUUGAGUACAGCAGCAACAUCUACUUGUUACUGGAAUUCCAGUUCAAGAUGGCCAGAGGCCACUUGGCACCAUGGAACCUGCACAAUUUCCACCAUAUAUAUGAAUUAGUUAGAAAGAAAACUAGAGUUGAACUACCCAGCCUCAUACAUACAUACAUAAGCGAGCAAAAUUUGAUUACACAAGAAGGUAGCUGGAGUGGUGGUGGACGAAAUGAAAGUCGACGGCCACGGCUUAACGAGGAGAGGAGCUCAACAUUGAAGUUUCGCAAAACAGGAGUUUCAUUAAUUUGAGAGUGGGUUUUAGUAGCUCAAGCUUAGUUAAGUUAAGCACUUAGUACUAAACAGCAACAACACUUGAACCGUAACAUGUCCAGAAAGGAAACAAAACAUGAGACAAGUAUUGAUAGCAAGUCCACGAAGGACAUCCAAUGGUUUCAGCCACAUCCUAAUAAACCUGGAGCAUUCUUUAGCACCUAAUUAUCAGCAACAAAUCAAUGGCUAGACGAGCACCACCACAACAAAUCGACACUAACACUUGGCCCAAGCAAGGAAUCAGCUCACACACGCAAGAUGAUGAUUGCAUACAUACAAAUCAUGUGCUGGCAGAAAAAAAAUCAAGCAGGAGCUCAUCUUCUCUCUCUGUUUUGUAACUAACGACCUAAAUAAAAUAAAAUAAAAACAUGACUUGUUCAUACAGAUCCCUCUAAAAUUCCUUGGCACAAGUGCAUCACAUAUUCAUCAACUUAGCAUCAGAAGUAGUGAGCACGAGAAGAGGGGGAGGGAGAUGGUGGAGCUACCUGCCGCGGUCGCAAUGGAAGCAGAGCAGACCCCUCUUGCCCNNN
rnacentral:lncRNA from 1 species